AAGCAUUUGGGAGUGGUUCACUGUUAAAUGCCAGUAUUGUCAAGAUUGGUUUCCAAAUAUACAAAGGAAUGAAAAAAAUACAACAUAUUUGGUAAUCACAAGUGAAGAUUUAAAUUGAAAAAAAAGUCAUCAGUGGCCUCAUGAGCACUAGCAAUGAAAGAAUGACGGCAACCCUGCUGGUGUACUUGCCCUUUGGAUGAAGAGCGCUGGUUUCCCAAAGCCACAGAUCAAAUCUUUGUGGAAAAACUAGUUCAAGAGCCAGGGUCCCACUCCAAGUUCCAGAAUCCUCAGCAACUGAAAGACAAAGCUGAUUCCUGCAUUAUACAUUAUGUGAGGAAGGUGGACUGUAAGGCAGAUGAAGAACAUCGACAUUCUGAAUGACAACGUGGCCACGCUCCUACACCAGUCAUCAGACAGAUUUGUUGCAGAGUUUUGGAAGGAUGUGGGUCGAAUUGUGGGUCUGGAUCAAGUUACUGAGACAGCAUUUGGCUCUGCCUCUAAAACCAAAAAGGGCAUGUUUUGUAUCAUUGGACAGCUCUACAGAGAAUCACUCACCAAGCUGAUGGCAACUCCCCGCAGCACAACCCUAACUUCACUCGCUGUAUCAUUCCAAAUCACGAG